CUGCUGAUCAACGUCUGGGUGACUUGUUUACUAUUGUUUUUUCAGAUGCAGAGGGACAAGAUACACACCAAAGAGCAAUGGAGAAAGCGAGCAGGGCACGGUUAGAUGACAUGAAGUGAUGAGUGAAGCAGGCUAUUGGCACCGGAGGUGACCCAGUCAAGAGGGUGUGCAAGCCUCAAAGCGACAGCCAAAAAUCACGGAGGGCAGUCGGGCGAGCAGCCAAGAUACCUCACACAGGCUCAGAGAAGCGAAGCCUCAUGCCUGUGGACGGGCCGAGAAGGUGCCAGAAGUGACAAUGGUGACAGCGUCUGACUCUGGAAGGAUCAGGUGAGCGGAACGCCAUCACCGUUUUGAGGAGGAUGGUGAAGAGGAACCUGAUGACUGUAGUAACGUCCCAGAUAGCUGAUGUGUUGGUUUUUUUGUCAACAGGAGAGUAAAGCCCCCCUGGCUUUCUGCAAGCUAAGUUGAGGGACCCAGGCUGGGGAGGGGCUGAGAGGU